GACGAACGCUUGCGGCGUGCCUAAGAAAUGCAAGUCGAGCGGGGCGGCAACGCCUAGCGGCGAACGGUCGCGUAACACGUAAGCAACCUGCCCGAAAGACCGGGAUAACGUCUCGAAAGGGACGCUAAUACCGGAUGUGUCCGUCCCUUGGCAUCUUGGGAUGGGUAAAUCACUUGUGGCUUUCGGAGGGGCUUGCGGCCUAUCAGCUAGAUGGCGGGGUAACGGCUCACCAUGGCAUCGACGGGAGCUGGUCUGAGAGGAUGGUCAGCCGGACUGGGACUGAGAUACGGCCCAGACUCCUACGGGGG
rnacentral:rRNA from 1 species